AUCUCAGUUCGGAUUGGAGGCUGAAACCCGCCUCCAUGAAGUUGGAUUCGCUAGUAAUCGCGCAUCAGCCAUGGCGCGGUGAAUACGUUCCCGGGCCUUGUACACACCGCCCGUCAAGCCAUGGGAGCUGGGGGUGCCUGAAGUUCGUGACCGCAAGGAUCGACCUAGGGCAAAACCGGUGACUGGGGCUAAGUCGUAACAAGGUAAC
rnacentral:rRNA from 1 species